GAUGAACGCUGGCGGCGUGCCUAAUACAUGCAAGUCGAACGAAACUUCUUUAUCACCGAGUGCUUGCACUCACCGAUAAAGAGUUGAGUGGCGAACGGGUGAGUAACACGUGGGCAACCUGCCCAAAAGAGGGGGAUAACACUUGGAAACAGGUGCUAAUACCGCAUAACCAUAGUUACCGCAUGGUAACUAUGUAAAAGGUGGCUAUACUACCGCUUUUGGAUGGGCCCGCGGCGCAUUAGCUAGUUGGUAGGGUAAAGGCUUACCAAGGCAAUGAUGCGUAGCCGAAUUGAGAGGUUGAUCGGCCACAUUGAGAUUGAGACACGGCCCAAACUCCUAAGGGAGGCAUCAGUAGGGAAUCUUCCACUAUGGGCGAAAGCCUGAUGGAGCAACGCCGCGUGGGUGAAGAAGGUCUUCGGAUCGUAAAACCCUGUUGUUAGAGAAGAAAGUGCGUGAGAGUAACUGUUCACGUUUCGACGGUAUCUAACCAGAGAGCCACUGCUAACUACGUG
rnacentral:rRNA from 1 species